rnacentral:rRNA from 1 species
AGCCCAAACCGUUGCCGUUUCGGCGACAGCGGGGUCAUGGGACCGCGACAUUCGACGGAAGACGAAGUGCAAUUACCUGGAAAGGUAAGCCGUGGAGGGUGACAGCCCCGUGCACGACACCUCUUUCGAAGAUAGCGGGAUCCCGAGUAGGGCGGGACACGAGAAAUCCUGCCUGAAUUCGCCAGGACCGCCUGGCAAGGCUAAAUACUCCCGAGAGACCGAUAGUGAACCAGUACCGCGAGGGAAAGGUGAAAAGUACCCCGAGCAGGGGGGUGAAAUAGACCCUGAACCCGCGCGCCUACAAGCGGUCGGAGCCAUGAAAUAUGGUGACGGCGUGCCUUUUGCAUAAUGAGCCUACGAGUUAGUCGUCACCAGCGAGGUUAAGGGCUUCAGGCCCGUUAGCCGAAGUGAAAGCGAGCCUUAACAGGGCGUCGAGUUGGUGGCGCUAGACGCGAAACCUUGUGAUCUACCCACGAGCAGGUUGAAGUCGCGGUAACACGUGAUGGAGGACCGAACCGGUAAACGUUGAAAAGUUUUCGGAUGACUCGCGGGUAGGGGUGAAAGGCCAAUCAAACUGGGAAAUAGCUCGUACUCUCCGAAAUGCAUUUCGGUGCAGCCUGUGAUGUUCUGUUCCAGAGGUAGAGCUACUGGUUGGACGCGAGGGCUUCACCGCCUAUCAAAUCCGGAUAAACUCCGAAUGCUGGAACACGAAAUCAUGGAGUGAGCCCGCGGGUGCUAAGGUCCGCGGACGAGAGGGAAAGAACCCGGACCACCGGCUAAGGUCCCGGAUGGACAGUUAAGUUGAUCAAACGAGGUGGGAUCGCUGAGACAGCUAGGAUGUUGGCUUGGAAGCAGCCAUUCAUUUAAAGAGUGCGUAACAGCUCACUAGUCGAGCGAUCCCGCGUGGAUAAUACACGGGCAUCAAACUGUCAACCGAAGCCGUGGGGUUAGUGAUGAGCUAACCGGUAGGAGAGCAUUCCUGCCAGCUUUGAAGGUCACCCGCGAGAGUGACUGGAGCGGCAUGAAAAGCAAAUGUAGGCAUAAGUAACGAUAAUGGGGGCGAGAACCCCCCACGCCGCAAGACCAAGGAUUCCCCGGCAAUGUCAAUCAGCCGGGGGUCAGCCGGCCUCUAAGGCUCACCCGAAAGGGGAUGCCGACGAGAAACGGGUUAACAUUCCCGUGCUUCUCGUCACCGUGACGCGGUGACGGGGUGAUGAAUGGACCGCGCGCUGACGGAAUAGCGCGUUGAAGGCCGUACCCUAUGACGGUGGUAGUCAAGCACGCCACCCGAGGCGAAAGUCGAUAGUACCUCGAGGCCUCGGCCGAGGGGAUAGCGUCCAGGCAAUUUACCCCCUAGAAAACCCGCUAAACUCCAAGUGACGAGGAACCGUACUGUAAACGGACACACGUGGUCGGGUAGAACAUACCAAGGCGCUCGAGUGAUUCAUGGUCAAGGAACUAGGCAAAAUAGUCCUGUAACUUAGGGAUAAAGGACGCUCUAGUGAUAGAGCCGCAGAGUAAUGGCCCAGGCGACUGUUUACCAAAAACACAUGGCUAUGCCAAAUCGAAAGAUGACGUAUAUGGCCUGACACCUGCCCGGUGCCGGAAGGUUAAGAGGAGAGCUCAUCGGAAACGAGAAGGUUUGAAUUGAAGCCCCGGUAAACGGCGGCCGUAACUAUAACGGUCCUAAGGUAGCGAAAUUCCUUGUCGGGUAAGUUCCGACCUGCACGAAUGGUGUAACGAUCUGGGCACUGUCUCGACCAUGAGCUCGGUGAAAUUGUAGUUCCGGUGAAGAUGCCGGGUACCCGCGACGGGACGGAAAGACCCCGUGAACCUUUACUGCAGCUUCGCGUUGUUCCCGGGCACGGGACGUGUAGGAUAGGUCGGAGGCCAUGAAGCGGAUUCGCCAGGAUUCGUGGAGCCAUCGUUGAAAUACGACCCUUCUCUUGUCUGGGAUCUAACCCAUGGUAAUGGGGACACCGCGUGGUGGGUAGUUUGACUGGGGUGGUCGCCUCCAAAAGCGUAACGGAGGCUUCCAAAGGUACCCUCGGGUUGGUUGGUAAUCAACCUUAGAGUGCAAUGGCACAAGGGUGCUUGACCGGGAGACCAACGAGUCGAUCGGGUGCGAAAGCAGGGCAUAGUGAUCCGGUGAUCCCGCGUGGAAGGGUCAUCGCUCAAAGGAUAAAAGGUACUCCGG